GAAUCUUCGGGAUAGUGGCGGACGGGUGAGUAACACGUGGGAACGUGCCCUUUGGUUCGGAACAACUCAGGGAAACUUGAGCUAAUACCGGAUGUGCCCUUCGGGGGAAAGAUUUAUCGCCAUUGGAGCGGCCCGCGUCUGAUUAGCUAGUUGGUGGGGUAAAGGCCUACCAAGGCUACGAUCAGUAGCUGGUCUGAGAGAAUGACCAGCCACACUGGGACUGAGAAACGGCCCAGACUCCUACGGGAGGCAGCA
rnacentral:rRNA from 1 species